GAAAUGCGAUAAGUAAUGUGAAUUGCAGAAUUCAGUGAAUCAUCGGAUCUUUGAACGCACAUUGCGCCCGCCAGUAUUCUGGCGGGCAUGCCUGUCCGAGCGUCAUUUCAACCAUCAAGCCCCCGGGCUUGUGUUGGGGACCUGCGGCUGCCCGCAGGCCCUGAAAACCAGUGGCGGGCUCGCUGUCACACCGAGCGUAGUAGCAAUCACCUCGCUCAGGGCGUGCUGCGGGUUCCGGCCGUUAAACAGCCUUACAAAACCCAAGGUUGACCUCGGAUCAGGUAGGAAGACCCGCUGAACUUAAGC
rnacentral:misc_RNA from 1 species